UGGUAGCCGUAGUAGCCGGUGAUGCGGAGGAUCCUUUCCUCGAUGGAGGUGAGCCCCACGGAAGCGCUGGUGAGGUCCUCCACGGAGCGGGACCACUUCAAGUCCUCUUUGAUGGCCUCAUCCACCACCAGAUCCAUACCUUUGAUAUUUGAACUCAGGUCCAUAACAAUUAAAAACUGGUGUGAAGACUGAAGACCAGCUGAAAACUGGUAUGAAGACUGAAGCCUACUGUCUCCACAAGUUUUUUUCACAGAGUGAAUUCGAGCAGUACAUCUCAAAGCUUUGGUUUUUCCAGAUUCAGCAUCUUUUAUGUUGGAACCCGUAAAAUAGGCUGAAGAAUCACAUUUCUUCUCAGUGUUUGUACUGAACUGGAACAUGUGAAAUUUUCUCAUCUCCUAAAAGAGAUGCACUGCAGAAUUUGUGUGGGAAACAUCACUAUAAAUAUAUUUUACUUUGGAUAAUAAAAGUAAGAUGGUGAAGUGGAGGGACAACUUCACAGUGACUGUGCAUAAUGAGGUGUUCCUGUUGGUACAGAUGGAAAGCUGAAGUACCAGGGAAAUCCUAGGAAAUAGGCAGAAAUAAAAUUUCUUCCUGAGAAAACA